rnacentral:rRNA from 1 species
GACGAACGCUGGCGGCGUGCCUAAUACAUGCAAGUAGAACGCUGAAGGAAGGAGCUUGCUCUUUCUGGAUGAGUUGCGAACGGGUGAGUAACGCGUAGGUAACCUGCCUGGUAGCGGGGGAUAACUAUUGGAAACGAUAGCUAAUACCGCAUAAAAUUGAUUAUUGCAUGAUAGACAAUUAAAAGGUGCAACUGCACCACUACCAGAUGGACCUGCGUUGUAUUAGCUAGUUGGUGGGGUAACGGCUCACCAAGGCGACGAUACAUAGCCGACCUGAGAGGGUGAUCGGCCACACUGGGACUGAGACACGGCCCAGACUCCUACGGGAGGCAGCAGUAGGGAAUCUUCGGCAAUGGACGGAAGUCUGACCGAGCAACGCCGCGUGAGUGAAGAAGGUUUUCGGAUCGUAAAGCUCUGUUGUAAGAGAAGAACGAGUGUGAGAGUGGAAAGUUCACAAUGUGACGGUAUCUUACCAGAAAGGGACGGCUAACUACGUG